rnacentral:rRNA from 1 species
UUGUCUCAAGACUAAGCCAUGCAUGUCUAAGUAUAAACGCUUCUAUACUGUGAAACUGCGAAUGGCUCAUUAAAUCAGUUAUAGUUUAUUUGAUGGUUUCUUACUACUUGGAUAACCGUGGUAAUUCUAGAGCUAAUACAUGCACAAAGUCCCGACUCUUCGGAAGGGAUGUAUUUAUUAGAUCCAAAACCAAUGCGAGUCUCUCGGGGCUCGGUUCCUUGGUGAUUCAUGAUAACUGCUCGAACCGUAUGGCCCUUGCGCCGACGGUGCUUCAUUCAAAUUUCUGCCCUAUCAACUUUCGAUGGUACGGUAGUGGCCUACCAUGGUUGCAACGGGUGACGGAGAAUUAGGGUUCGAUUCCGGAGAGGGAGCCUGAGAAACGGCUACCACAUCCAAGGAAGGCAGCAGGCGCGCAAAUUACCCAAUCCCGACUCGGGGAGGUAGUGACAAUAAAUAACAAUGCCGGGCUAUUGUAGUCUGGCAAUUGGAAUGAGUACAAUCUAAAUCCCUUAACGAGGAACAAUUGGAGGGCAAGUCUGGUGCCAGCAGCCGCGGUAAUUCCAGCUCCAAUAGCGUAUAUUAAAGUUGUUGCAGUUAAAAAGCUCGUAGUUGGAUUUCGGGGUGGCCUGCCUGGUCCACCGCAAGGUGAGUACUGGUCAGCCGCCCUUCCUCUCGAAAGCCCCGACUGCUCUUUACUGCAGUGGUCGGGUAGUUCGGGACGUUUACUUUGAAAAAAUUAGAGUGUUCAAGGCAGGCUAUCGCCUGAAUACAUUAGCAUGGAAUAAUGGAAGAGGACCUCGGUCCUAUUUUGUUGGUUUCUAGGGCCGAAGUAAUGAUUAAGAGGGACAGUUGGGGGCAUUCGUAUUUAAUUGUCAGAGGUGAAAUUCUUGGAUUUAUGAAAGACGAACUAGUGCGAAAGCAUUUGCCAAGGAUGUUUUCAUUAAUCAAGAACGAAAGUUAGGG